rnacentral:rRNA from 1 species
GGCUAAGUAACCGGUCCUAGCUUGCAAGUCGAACGGCAGCACAGCUAAGCUUGCUCUGUGGGUGGCGAGUGGCGGACGGGUGAGUAAUGCAUCGGGACCUACCCAGACGUGGGGGAUAACGUAGGGAAACUUACGCUAAUACCGCAUACGUCCUACGGGAGAAAGCGGGGGAUCGCAAGACYUCGCGYGGUUGGAUGGACCGAUGUGCGAUUAGCUUGUUGGUGAGGUAACGGCUCACCAAGGCGACGAUCGCUAGCUGGUCUGAGAGGAUGAUCAGCCACACUGGGACUGAGACACGGCCCAAAUCCUACGGGAGGCAGCAGUGGGGAAUAUUGGACAAUUGGCGCAAGCCUGAUCCAGCAAUGCCGGGUGGUGGAAGAAGGGCCUCGGGUUGUAAAGCACUUUUAUCAGGAGCGAAAUCUGCAGGGCUAAUACCCAUGCAGUCUGACGGUACCUGAGGAAUAAGCACCGGCUAACUCCGUGCCAGCAGCCGCGGUAAUACGGAGGGUGCAAGCGUUAAUCGGAAUUACUGGGCGU